rnacentral:rRNA from 1 species
UACGUAGGGUGCGAGCGUUAAUCGGAAUUACUGGGCGUAAAGCGUGCGCAGGCGGUUUUGCAAGCCGGAUGUGAAAUCCCCGGGCUUAACCUGGGAACUGCGUUUGAAACUACAAGGCUAGAGUGUGGCAGAGGGGGGUGGAAUUCCACGUGUAGCAGUGAAAUGCGUAGAGAUGUGGAGGAACACCGAUGGCGAAGGCAGCCCCCUGGGUUAACACUGACGCUCAGGCACGAAAGCGUGGGGAGCAAACAGG